AACGAGCGGUUGAUUGUAUAUCAAAAAGAAUUCAAUUUUAGUAAAACUUGAGUUUUCUAACAAUUUUACUCCUUUUUAAGUCCACAACAGCCAAAACCGUACCAAGCCAAUCAAAAACAAGUUAUAAUAUAAUUUAGGGUUCUUUUCCAUAAUCGCAUAUCAACAGAGAUGAUUUCUUUUGGCAGACCAAGCGCACUGACUCUGUUAUAUUUACAUUAUAACCUACUUACUGGCAUCUGGAAAGGUUGCUCUCAUCCCUGGGAAAUUUAUACUAUUUUUUGACAAAUAAAAGCUACCUCAGUGGAAACCCAAUAAUUAAAAUUAAGCCUCACACUUUUGACAACUAUAAGAGGUAUCGAACUUGAAGAAUUUCUUUGCUGCUCACGUUUUUAUCAUGAAAAAAUAAGAUAUAAUAGUGGACAAUGACCGCAUAUGAGGGGGAAAUUGUAAAAUAGGACAUUUUUGAUAGAAAUGAAUGUAAUGCUUCGAAGCUUCCAAUCAAAGGUGUUACUCCAACACCCCUUCCCUCCUCCUCUUUAAGCGCAGAACACACUACACUGGUAGUCUAAAAUUUGCCCAUUAUCACUUCCUACAAGGCCUGAGUUUAGUGCAGCAGCAACUUCUAGAACUUUUAAUCUUUACGAUUUGCUCGCACUAAGCUAGUUUUUG